rnacentral:rRNA from 1 species
GACGGGUGAGUAACGCGUUGGUAACCUGCCUUAUACAGGGGGAUAACAGUCAGAAAUGGCUGCUAAUACCGCAUAAGCGCACAGAGCUGCAUGGCUCAGUGUGAAAAACUCCGGUGGUAUAAGAUGGACCCGCGUUGGAUUAGCUAGUUGGUGGGGUAACGGCCCACCAAGGCGACGAUCCAUAGCCGGCCUGAGAGGGUGAACGGCCACAUUGGGACUGAGACACGGCCCAGACUCCUACGGGAGGCAGCAUG